CCUAAAAACUGUUCUUCAAUACUUUCUGAUUUCAUUCGUUGUCUCUGAUUUGACACCAGAAUGCCACUGCCAUGACUUGACAUGCUGGAUGUCAUAUCAUCUGUAGAAGCACGGAGAUUAUCAUCCCUUGCAGGAAAAGGAGACUCCAAAACAUUAAUUCUCAUUGAUCCAACUGAGCCCCUUUGGCCAGAAGUUGGUGUUCCUAUUGGCUGCAGUUCCUUCAUGAAAGCAGUUCCAAAAAGUGUUUCAAGAGUCAAAAGCUUGCCUCCAUCGGGAAUGUUCUUGGUGUCUCUUUCUCUGGAACUAGAGAGCAGGGUGCCAAGAUUGUCAACUUCCAUAUUUUGUUUUGUGUCUGAGGAUAUGAUCUCUGCAUCAGUAGACAGGCUUUUCCCCCUCUGUAACAACGAAAGGAGGUGUUGUGAUGCAUGAUCAUCAAUAUCAGAUUUCUGUUGUUCAGUCUUUGCUCCAGAAUCACUCCAGCCCCGUACAGGUGGCUGCAACGUCAUGCUAUUUUCAGUAAUUUCUGAAAGAAUUGAUUGCUCAAGGUCUUCACAUGUAAGUAAAGCUGGAACUGCAUCUAGUUUAUCAAUAUUUUCAACAGUGUCAGGCACUGGAUUGGAUAUCAUGUUCCCAUCUGCGAGUCCAGAGCUUUGGAGAGGAAGGCUUGGUGGAAUGUUCUCAAUAGCCUUAACAUCAAAAACCUGGGAUCCACUUUUUUCACCACCAACAAUUAAUGAUAGCAAAUCAUUGGGCCUGCCAGAUGAGAGACCAUCAACUGGUUUAUUGUUACUGCCAGAUGAGAGACCAUCAAUUGGUUUCUUUUCUUCUUCAAGAAACCAUUGAGCAAACUUGGAAGACUGGACCGUGUGAGGGCUCCUUUUCUCAUCUUCUUUAAGGUCCUGAUGCUCGAUAAAACCAGAGGAAACAACACCAUUUAGUGUCAAUGCACUGCCAAAGAGCUUGUCAAGGAUUGAGUUUGAAUGGGUUGGACUGGAUUCCCUCACAACUUUAGUCUCUGUCACAUCCUUAGCAUCAAGCUCUAUGACUUCACAAUUCUCUGAGGUCUCAAAAGCUUCAGAAAGUUUAGUAGUCUUGUAAUAUUGACUAUCCAUGCCAACUGCUUCACUUGAAACAUCCAAUGCUGAUGACAAAUUCAGAAUCUUUUCACUCUGAUUAUUAGAUGAAACAUGAAUAUUUGGACUACCAAGCUGCUGCUCUCCUGAGUCAAUCUGUUCUAUAGAUUGUUUCUCCUCUUGAUUAUUAGAAGCCCCACUUAGCAAACCGUUUCCUUUAGCAUGCAAAUGGCUGCCCUCGUGUUCGUUGCCAAUCUCUGGUGGUUGAGGAUGAAUUGAAGGUUUUAUUCCAAUAUUCUUCUCCACCAUAGUGCUGGAAAAUCCUGGUGGCACAAGAGGUCUAGACACAGGAGCUGGUGAGGAAAAGGAAGACUUAUCAGAAUCAGUAUUUGAAGAAGACUGUGUCACCGGCUCAUCUGACUCAUUUUUUCUGAUAAGAAAUCCCUUAUCAUCUUUUGGAUCCUCCAUCAACUCACUAAUAUCGAAGUCAUCUUUACUCUUUUCUGGAUUCAACCUCUGCUUUUCUUGAAAAGCUUUCUGUUGUUCCUUCCUCAUCAGUUCAAAGGA
rnacentral:misc_RNA from 1 species